GACAAAGAGAAGUCUUUCCAUAGCUUAAAAUGGAAGUUCAAGGCUCCCAAGAUGGCAGUUGUCUGGCUGGCGUUUUUCACCUUCAGGGAUAACCCCUGAGGAUCAGCAAGGCUGAAGAAUGUACUCAGGGUUACAGUAUGACAGGGAGAGUCUGAGGAGAGGCUCCCAGUAUCUUCAUGAUGCUGCCUCCUCCCAAGAGGCUCAAUGCAAACCAAGCAGUCACUCAGAAGAUGACAUGUCACCACAUGGAAAGGUGACCUUGCAGCACCUAGAAAGUGCCAUAUAGAUGCCAUCUCCCCACCGUGAAGAGUUGGAACUACUGGGAGUAAUUGAAAGGAUGCAUUAACGGUGCCAGCCUCUGUCUGAACCACAGGAAUGACAAGCAAACCUUCAAAUACCGCAUUCAUACAGAGACAUCUCACCUGCAAAAAAGAAAAAAAACAAACAAACAAACAAAAAAAACGAUGUCACUGAAGAGGACUCAGCAAGCCCAGAGCUGCAGGAUGGUGGCUCUGGGAGUUUCUAAGGACUGAAAUGACAACUUUAAAUGACACAUUUCCCUUCAGAUAGGAUGAUUACGUUGAUGGAGGGAACCUCAGAUGCCAUAUCCACAGGUUCACAGAUCUCCCAAAGAUGGAACCCAGCAGGUAUAUAAUGCUAAUACCUGGUUUUAUAGAAUAGCAUGUUUUAACCAAAAGACUA